UACGUAGGGGGCAAGGCGUUGUUCCGGAAUCAUUGGUGCGUAAAGCGCGUGUAGGCGGCCCGGUAAGUCCGCUGUGAAAGUCGGGGGCUCAACCCUCGAAUGCCGGUGGAUACUGUCGGGCUAGAGUGCGGAAGAGGCGAGUGGAAUUCCUGGUGUAGCGGUGAAAUGCGCAGAUAUCAGGAGGAACACCAAUUGCGAAGGCAGCUCGCUGGGACGUGACUGACGCUGAGACGCGAAAGCGUGGGGAGCAAACAGG
rnacentral:rRNA from 1 species